rnacentral:rRNA from 1 species
UACGAAGGGGGCGAGCGUUGUUCGGAUUUACUGGGCGUAAAGGGCGCGCAGGCGGCUCAUUUUGUCAGGCGUGAAAGCCCCGGGCUUAACCUGGGAACUGCGUUUGAUACGGAUGGGCUAGAGUUCGGGAGAGGAGAGUGGAAUUCCCAGUGUAGAGGUGAAAUUCGUAGAUAUGUGGAGGAAUACCGAUGGCGAAGGCAGCCCCCUGGGAUAACACUGACGCUCAUGCACGAAAGCGUGGGGAGCAAACAGG